GGAGGAUUGGCUGAGUGGUCGAUAGCGGCGGUUUUGAAAACCGUUGAUCCGUAAGGGUCCGCAGGUUCGAAUCCUGUGUCCUCCGCCA
rnacentral:tRNA from 5 species